CAUCCGCAGCCUCUGAGGACGAUUCAUUAGCUCGUGAGUCUGUGGUACCAGGAUGUGAGAACAGAAACUGCUGCAGGCAUUUUAGCUGCUGUGAGCAAAGAUGCACUAAAGAGAAAGCGAGCCCCCCCAAAGAAAGGGACACUUUAGAGAGUGUCAGAGAAAAGCAGGGACCAGCGGCACUGCCCUCCCCUAGCCCAGAAGCUUGACCAGCUUCGGGUUUAUCUAGUGCACUAAAGCAGUAAAUAAUCCUUUCUUAGUCAUGCCUGGCGGGUUUUUGCAUUGCUUUCCAUCAGAAGACACUCAGGAGGCCAAGUUGUUUCAGUCACACUGUAGUACGAGAAGACCCGGAGUGAAUCUAAUUCCGGCAGAAUCUCUGGUUGGUGCUGUGCUGGAAAUGACUCCGAGUUGAGUGGGGAGUGGGUUGGUUUGACUUCCGCCGCACUUCUGGCAGACAAAUCAUGCAAACUAAAAGUGCCCAUGGAAGCAGCCUUUUGAGGAAUAGACAGAGAAUAGCAUUCACGAUGCUGCGUGCGGCCUCCUGGUGGUUAUGUAACCCAGUACGAGAUUCCCUCACCUCGUCUUUGAGCCUCGAUAGGAAUACCUUGACACUCAUACAAGAGCAUCUGCAUCUUGUUUGGGAGGCUGUUUAUCAAAACGCCACGAGAAAACAUUCACCCACUUCAGGAGGUGAUUGUGAGCAAUCAGUAGCUUAAAAAAAAAAAAAA
rnacentral:lncRNA from 1 species